rnacentral:rRNA from 2 species
CUUGGGAGAAUGAUUCUUAUUUUAAUAAUAAUAUAUAUUAUUAUUAUAUAUUAUUAUUAUAUUUAAGUAUACAUGAAAUUUGUAUAAAAUUCUAGGUAAAAAUUUGAUAAUGACAAAGUUUUAUCUAUUUGUCUUGACCAAAUCUUGUGCCAGCAGUCGCGGCAACACAAGGAAGACAAGUGUUAUUCAUCUUAAAUCGGUUUAAGGGGUACCUAGACGGUAAAUUAGGCCAUAGUAGGAACGUUUUUACUAGAGUUAUACAUGCAGGGGGAUUGUGUCAGUAUUACCAGAGUAGAGAUGAAAUUUUUUGAUACUGUUAAGACUGGUAAAGGCGAAAGCAAACCUUUAUAUAUUAACUGACGUUGAGGGACGAAGGCUUGGGGAGCAAACAGGAUUAGAUACCCUAAUAGUCCAGGCAGAGAAUUAUGAAUGUCAUAGAUUAUAUACAA